UACGUAGGGGGCAAGCGUUAUCCGGAUUUACUGGGUGUAAAGGGGGCGCAGACGGCAGCGCAAGCCAGGAGUGAAAGCCCGGGGCCCAACCCCGGGACUGCUCUUGGAACUGCGCGGCUGGAGUGCAGGAGGGGCAGGCGGAAUUCCUGGUGUAGCGGUGAAAUGCGUAGAUAUCAGGAGGAACACCGGUGGCGAAGGCGGCCUGCUGGACUGCAACUGACGUUGAGGCUCGAAAGUGUGGGUAUCAA
rnacentral:rRNA from 1 species